AGCGGCUGGCCCUAGGGCGCAUGCGGGGCAGCCUUCGGGGCGGGGCUUUGCUUCCAGGCUGCUGCGGACUGAAGGCUGUCGGGAGGAAAAAGCAUCAUCGAGGCAGAGAAAACUGAAGAGUUUGGCCGACAAAAGUGAGGAAGAAAGGUCACGGUAGUAUCGGUUGAAGUCAUGAAUCAGGAACGAACGUUACAAUAGGUAAAAAGAGUCCUUUCCUGGUAUAUGCUCAUUCUACGGGAUUAGUGACGCUGCCUCUUAACAGUAACUGACAGUAAACAGUCGCGCGCUGCCAUGGAGAUCUGCCCCGCCCCCGAAACCUACACCGCAUUAUCAAUCGUCAAUCCACGUGAUGGUCUAGCUGGGAUUUCGCGUUUCCUCUCCACAGGAAGUGUCGUCAAACCUGAUGUCACGCUCGAUGAGUAUGGAUCCCGUUCCUGCUUUGUGCGUGAUUUAACACGUGCAACUGACGUUUAUGAUAGCCUAAAAAACACAUUUUUGAAAGUUGAUCGGAACAUUUCUAGGACAUCCAAUUUGGAGUUUGAUUAAUUUGGAAGCUUUUCAGACAGCCUCCCACAUGACAGCUGUAGCACAAGAAAAAGGUCUAACCUACAAAGAACAAGCAAACUACCGAAAAGAUUGCCUUGCUGGAAGGAUAGCAUUUAACUACAGCAGAAAGAUUCUGUAAUGAAAAUAAAAGAUUUAUGACAUAAUGUAUCACUUCAAACAAAGGAACUGAGAAUCCAGAAGAACUGCCAGUUUGGUCCUCAAGAGAACAACCCUGCCAGAGUCAAAGAUGACAAAAUCACCAGAACCUGGAGGUCAAAACCUCAGAGCCACUCCAUCUUGCCAGAGUUGAUCCAAAGCCUUCGUUGACUCUUGCCCAUUACUGUUUUAUUACUGGUGAUGCUGCUAUUUUUUGAUGAAAUAGAAUGACUUGUAGUAGAAGUAGCUCUAGAAUAAAAGCCUUCAUCAACUUCAGAUACUUCUAUUAAU